UAGGGAAUAUUGGGCAAUGGACGCAAGUCUGACCCAGCCAUGCCGCGUGCAGGAUGAAGGCGCUAUGCGUUGUAAACUGCUUUUGUAAGGGAAAAAACCCUUCGACGUGUCGGAGGUUGAUGGUACUUUACGAAUAAGCAUCGGCUAACUACGUGCCAGCAGCCGCGGUAAUACGUAGGAUGCAAGCGUUAUCCGGAUUUAUUGGGUUUAAAGGGUGCGUAGUCGGAAUAAUAAGUCAGUGGUGAAAUCUCCCGGCUUAACCGGGAAACUGCCAUAGAUACUGUGAUUCUUGAGUAUAUUUGACGUGGGCGGAAUGUGUCAUGUAGCGGUGAAAUGCUUAGAUAUGACACAGAACACCGAUUGCGAAGGCAGCUCACGAAACUAUAACUGACGCUGAGGCACGAAAGCGUGGGGAUCAAACA
rnacentral:rRNA from 1 species